UAAUAUCUUCCCAGUCGUCUCAGAACUCUUUGGGGUGCAUAUGGUUGUAUACGUCUUGCUCCCAUCAUCAUCAAAUAGCCCUUUGAAGCGGUCAUGUAAAGAAUUUCUGUUAUUGGGAGCCAUCCUAUGGUCCAUUAAAUUUGAUCUGCUCUCAACUCUCUCGAAUAGGAAACCCAUAUUUCAAACCCUUCGGUCGGUUUGUAAUCCUCCAC
rnacentral:lncRNA from 1 species